AGAACCUCCACCGUCACAGACCUCCACUGUUGGAGGACCUCCCCUGUCUAAACACAUCCACUAUUGCAGGACCUCCACUGUCCAAGGAAUUCCGCUGUUCCAGGACAUCCACUCUUGCAGCACCUGCAUUGUCUCUGGACUUCCACUGUACCAGUCCCAUCUCCAAUGUCUCAGGACCUCCACUCUUACAGGACCUCCAAUGUUCACAACCUCAAAUACAAAACUGCACUAUCCCAGUGCCUCCACAGUUGCAGGCCCCAAACUGUCCAGGAUCUGCACUGUUUCAUUAAUUCCCCUGUCCCUUUUUUGAAAGCAUUGCUGGUUAUUAGUUUUGAGGCUUAAUGGAAUGUGAUGGUAUUUUUGAAAAAAUAACAAUUUUUCCUGCA
rnacentral:lncRNA from 1 species